GAGCUCGUAAGUGACCUGCGGAGGAUCAUUACCGAGUUGAUUCGAGCUCCGGCUCGACUCUCCCACCCUUUGUGUACCUACCUCUGUUGCUUUGGCGGGCCGCGGCUCGGCCCUCGUGCCGGCUAAGCACCCGCCAGAGGACUUCAAAACUCCAGUCAGUGAACGUCUCAGUCUGAAAAACAAGUUAAUAAACUAAAACUUUCAACAACGGAUCUCUUGGUUCUGGCAUCGAUGAAGAACGCAGCGAAAUGCGAUAAGUAAUGUGAAUUGCAGAAUUCAGUGAAUCAUCGAAUCUUUGAACGCACAUUGCGCCCCUUGGUAUUCCGGGGGGCAUGCCUGUUCGAGCGUCAUUUCAACCCUCAAGCUCUGCUUGGUAUUGGGCUCCGUCCUCCACGGACGCGCCUCAAAGACCUCGGCGGUGGCGUCUUGCCUCAAGCGUAGUAGAAAACACCUCGCUUUGGAGCGCACGGCGCCGCCCGCCGGACGAACCUUUGAAUUUUUCUCAAGGUUGACCUCGGAUCAGGUAGGGAUACCCGCUGAACUUAAGCUUUAGGGGGGG
rnacentral:rRNA from 1 species